AGUAGUUUUUAGUAGUGUCCCAUUUUCAGUGUGAGUAGCUGUAUGUAGCUCCGUUGAGUAAUCAGAGAAAAAUUGGUCGUUAGUAAGGCUAAACAGUCAUCAUCGGAUUGUGAAAGUGCAAAGACGUGUUUAUUCCCUGCAGUACGGCUGGUAUGAAUUCGUGAAUUGCACUAGUGAAUUCAUAUAUUACAAGUAACUAGUGAAUUCAGGACAACAAGGUAAUGCAGAGAAGCAAUAGUACAUAAGCGAGAUUGAGAGAGAAGAGAGCGCGAUCUAGAGUACGUUGUUCUCAAUAAGUACUCUCAGUAAAAUAUCAGCGACAAAUAAGGGUGGGAAUGCACAUUUGAGAGAUCUGGUACAGUAUGUACAAGUUGCGAAUAAUUAUUGGGCAUUAUUGUGUUUGCCUACAUAUCGGUCAUUGAAACCAUGAUUCACUGUAUUAAAAAAAUAAGAAAACGGCGGUUUCUAUGUAAUUUGGAACAUUAGUUUUUCGACCAAACAGUCUUGUGGUUUAUUCAAUUGACUUCGCGUCGCGGUUGUGUGUUUUGAUUUUUUAAUAUACAUAUUCAUUAUUAAAAAGUUAAUAAAGAAUUAAUAAACAAAAAAGUAUAAAUUAUUUAUAGUGAUAACAAAAAAGUGAAAAUGACGAGAAGCGUGGCAGCAGUAGGAAAGGAAAUAAGUCUUUGCGAGUUAGAGGUCAAAAAUGGCAAUCAUAUUGAAAUUCUCAUUGGGAAGUGGAGAACAGCGUGGAAUAAAGUCUUUCCUAACAAAUAGGAUGGGUAAAUAAUCUCAUUGGCCGACGCUUUUCAAGAGUACAAUACGAAUGGUAAAUAAAAAUUGUAAACAAAAAAUUAUAAUAAAAAUUAAUAUUUUAA